CAAUUUUUACCAAUGUUAAUUGUAACUUUAUUUAAUUUAGUCACUUUUGAGUUUAAAAACAUUUCUGUACAGUAGCUCUCAAAACGGAUGUUGUGACGUCAUACACCGAAAGAGGAGGCCGAUUUUCACAUUGAUCAACACAGAAGUAUAUUAAAGUUUAGUUUAUCUAUCUUUUAAUAUUGAGAAAUAAUAUAUAACGUCUCCACUUUCACUUAGUCUGAUGUUGCACUUCGUAGUCUAGAACUUGUAAGGCUAUUUCUAAUCACUAUUGACAUACAUGUAUACGUACCAUCCGAGAUCCGAGCUUUGCCAAAUGUUGCAAUGAUGAAUUCCCCUUCUAUAGGAUGAUCUUUAAUCGGUUUUCUAGUAAGUUCUUUAACGUUCUCAAAGUUAAUGCUGACGAAUUUGUCUUCCCAACGGACGACAGCGUCCUUCUGUUGCUCGAAAUGGCGCGGUUUGGAAACUUUGGCCAAUCGGAUCGGUUGAUACAAAUUCUGACCAAUGAGACCUUGUCUAUUAUGAUCACUAGAAAGAAUCCAGUCAAUGCGUAACUGAUUCGUGUAAUUUUUUUUAAUUGUUACAUUAUGAAUUUUUCUACAGUGAAACGUAUAUACAAUUGAAAUAAAACUGUUUGAAUAUUUAUACAGACAAAAUAAAGCUUUGUGUACGAACUGACUUAUCAUAUUUGUUACUUGUUCACAAAACAGAAAACUUUGACUUACUUUGUUUCCGAAUCGGUUUAUGAAUGAGUUGUCUCAAGGAAAUCUGAUACACAUGAACGUUUGAAAUUGCACACAGAUGUACCAAAACGUAAACGUUUGAAAAACACUGAAUAAUGAACUAGCGGGAAGAAGUUUGCAUCGACAUAAUCAUCAACAAUUAAGAAAUGGACUUGUCAAUGUUGUGUGAGAAGGACGGGGUUGUGGAUGUCCCCACAGAAUCUUUGUAAAAAAAAAUUGCUCUGGAGAAAACAAAACUUGAUUCUUCGCAUUGAAAGUUUCCAUCCAGAAAUUGACCUUGGUGAUGUUGCUGUAAGGCAAAAAUAGCAUGAAUUAGAUUCUUCUGUUCCUGUUCCUAAAAGCAAA